rnacentral:rRNA from 1 species
UACGUAGGGGGCAAGCGUUGUCCGGAAUCAUUGGGCGUAAAGCGCGUGUAGGCGGCCCAGUAAGUCCGCUCUGAAAGUCCGGGGCUCAACCCCGGGAGGCGGGUGGAUACUGCUGGGCUCGAGUCCGGAAGAGGCGAGUGGAAUUCCUGGUGUAGCGGUGAAAUGCGCAGAUAUCAGGAGGAACACCUAUGGCGAAGGCAGCUCGCUGGGACGGUACUGACGCUGAGACGCGAAAGCGUGGGGAGCAAACAGG